rnacentral:rRNA from 1 species
CACGUAGGGGGCGAGCGUUGUCCGGAAUCAUUGGGCGUAAAGAGCUCGUAGGCGGCUCAGUAAGUCGGGUGUGAAACCCUCAGGCUCAACCUGGGGACGCCACCCGAUACUGCUGUGGCUAGAGUCCAGUAGGGGAGUGUGGAAUUCCCGGUGUAGCGGUGAAAUGCGCAGAUAUCAGGAGGAACACCAAUUGCGAAGGCAGCUCGCUGGGACGGUACUGACGCUGAGACGCGAAAGCGUGGGGAGCAAACAGG